rnacentral:lncRNA from 12 species
CUACCCCUACCUGGGUCUCCUCACUUUUGUGGGAAGUGAGAAGGUUAUAUUUUCACUUCUUAGCCUGCUGCAGUGGUCAAGACCAAGUGAAGUAUAUCACUCUUGAGUCAGUGAUAUUGAAGCUGAAGUAGAAAGACGAUACAGCUCCUGCCUGGUC